rnacentral:lncRNA from 1 species
AUGGCAGAAGCAGAUCAUCCCAGCAAGCUUUUCAUUGGUGGCCUCAAUAGACAAACCAAUGAAAAGAUGCUUAAAGCAGUAUUUGCAAAACAGGGUCUCAUAUCUGAAGUUCUUUUGUUAAAGGAUUGAACCAGCAAGUCCAGAGGCUUUGUGUUUAUUAUUUUUGAGAAAAGUGCAGAUGCUAAGAAUGCUGCCAAAGAUAUGAAUGGAAAGUCUUUUGAUGGAAAGGCAAUAAAAGUAGAACAAAGCCAAAAACUAUCUUUUCAAAGUGGUGGUAGGUGGAGACCACCACCUUCAAGAAACAGAAGCCCUUCAGGAAGUGUGAGAUCUGCAAGAGGAAGUAGUGGAGGAACAAGAGGGUGGCUUCCCUCACAUGAAGGACACGUGGAUGAUGGUGGAUACACUCUUGAUUUCAACAUGAGUUCUUCUAGGGGACCCAUUCCAAUUAAAAGAAGUCCAUCUUCAAGAAAUGGAGGUCCUCCUCCUACAAAAUCUGCUCCUGUGACAAGAAGCAAUAGUCGGAUGGGAGGCCAAGGUCCCAUAUCAUAUGGAAGAGAGAAUUAUGGAGGUCCUCCAUGCAGAAAGCCAAUCUCUUCCUGGCAAAUAACCAUAUGUCACCAAGAGAUGACGGUUAUGCAACUAAGGAUGGAAAUCAUCCAAGUUCCCCAGAAACCAGGGAUUAUGCUCCACCACUUAGAGACUAUGCAUACCAUGAUUAUGGUCAUUCUAUUCAGGUUGAACAUUCCUCUAGAGAAUAUAGUGAUCAGGAUGGCUAUGGUGAGGCCCGUGGUAGAGAUCAUUCUGAACAUCCAAGUGGAAGUUCUUACAGAGAUACAAUUCAGAGGGACCUCUCAUGGUGCACCACCUGCACAAGGGCCUCGGAUGUCUUAUGGUGGAAGAAGCCGCCAUUAUUAUAACAAUACACGAGAUAGAUAUAGCAGAAGUCGGAGAGUUACUCAAGACACUGUGGUGAUUUUUAUUCCUGUUUUCAUGAGCACGUUGGCAGAAAAGACCAAAGGAAUCUAAUUUCUCUGGAUAGAGUGCACCCUGCUCCUCGUGAAGCAUAUGGUAGCUCAAGUUAUGUGGCAUCUACAGGAGAUGGUAAGAGAAGCUGAUCUGAAAAAGGAGACUGAAGUAGAUAUUAA